rnacentral:rRNA from 1 species
UACGAAGGGGGCUAGCGUUACUCGGAAUUACUGGGCGUAAAGAGUGCGUAGGCUGUUUUGUAAGUUGGUAGUUAAAUUCUCAGGCUUAACCUGAGGCCUGCUACCAAAACUGCAAGACUAGAGUGUCGGAGAAGAUAGUGGAAUUCCUAGUGUAGAAGUGAAAUUCAUCGAUAUUAGGAGGAACACCAGAAGCGUAGGCGACUAUCUGGACGAAUACUGACGCUGUCGCACGAAGGCAUGGGGAGCAAACAGG